GUGGGGAAUAUUGGACAAUGGGGGGAACCCUGAUCCAGCCAUGCCGCGUGUGUGAAGAAGGCCUUUUGGUUGUAAAGCACUUUAAGCGAGGAGGAGGCUACCGAGAUUAAUACUCUUGGAUAGUGGACGUUACUCGCAGAAUAAGCACCGGCUAACUCUGUGCCAGCAGCCGCGGUAAUACAGAGGGUGCAAGCGUUAAUCGGAUUUACUGGGCGUAAAGCGCGCGUAGGUGGCCAAUUAAGUCAAAUGUGAAAUCCCCGAGCUUAACUUGGGAAUUGCAUUCGAUACUGGUUGGCUAGAGUAUGAGAGAGGAUGGUAGAAUUCCAGGUGUAGCGGUGAAAUGCGUAGAGAUCUGGAGGAAUACCGAUGGCGAAGGCAGCCAUCUGGCCUAAUACUGACACUGAGGUGCGAAAGCAUGGGGAGCAAACAGGAUUAGAUACCCGUGUAGUCC
rnacentral:rRNA from 1 species